AUUGAACGCUGGCGGCAUGCCUUACACAUGCAAGUCGAACGGCAGCACGGGAGCAAUCCUGGUGGCGAGUGGCGAACGGGUGAGUAAAGUAUCGGAACGUGCCCAGUCGUGGGGGAUAACGUAGCGAAAGUUACGCUACUACCGCAUACGAUCUAUGGAUGAAAGCGGGGGAUCGCAAGACCUCGCGCGAUUGGAGCGGCCGAUAUCAGAUUAGGUAGUUGGUGGGGUAAAGGCUUACCAAGCCGACGAUCUGUAGCUGGUCUGAGAGGACGACCAGCCACACUGGGACUGAGACACGGCCCAGACUCCUACGGGAGGCAGCAGUGGGGAAUUUUGGACAAUGGGCGAAAGCCUGAUCCAGCCAUGCCGCGUGCAGGAUGAAGGCCUUCGGGUUGUAAACUGCUUUUGUACGGAACGAAAAGGUUUGGGCUAAUAAGCUGAGCUCAUGACGGUACCGUAAGAAUAAGCACCGGCUAACUACGUGCCAGCCGCCGCAGUAA
rnacentral:rRNA from 1 species